GCGUCAGCAGUCGCGAAACCUCCUCAAUGCACUCACGUGCGAAGGGGUUACCUCGAGUGCCGCCUGAAGAAGGCGGCUUUUCCAUGGUCUAAAAAGCCUAGGGAAUAAGAGGGGGCAAGACUGGUGUCAGCCGCCGCGGUAACACCAGCCCCUCGAGUGGUGGGGAUGAUUAUUUGGCCUAAAGCGUCCGUAGCCGGCCGGGUAAGUCUCCCGUUAAAUCCAGCGUCUCAAGCGUUGGACUGCGGGAGAUACUGUCUGGCUAGAGAGUGGGAGAGGUGUACGGUAUUCUGGGGGUAGGGGCGAAAUCCUUUGAUCCCCGGAGG
rnacentral:rRNA from 1 species